GAUUGCUUGGUGGUGUGAGUCUCUCUGUGUUCCCGAUGACGGGGAGCACUUCGGCGCUGUUUCAGUGUCCAGAACCCGUUCCGUGGAUAAGGGAAGGAGUCCCCUAUUGCUGAGAAUUCCGAAACCGCCUUUGGUGGCCACAGGGUCAGGUACCCGACGAAGUGGGGGCCAUCAGAGCGAUGCAUCGCUACGGAUGCCGGCGGCCAGGUCUUGGAGGACGUAGCGUCGGAGCGAGCUGCGACAGUGCACUGGUUCGUAGCAUCCACAGAGGAUCGGCAGAGUGUCAGUGUCACUCGAACGUAUCUCACCCCCGGCCCUUACACCGCCCACUGAUAUGAGGAGUCUGAGCCACCAAGUGGUGAGCGGGAUAAUGGGAAGCGGCUGUGGGGCGACCUGCGAAGCGGGUGAGUAGGUACGGUUUCAGGAAGAAGCCGCACUCAGAUGACCGAUUCGUCUAAAUGGUCUAGCACGCGUGUGUAUAGCGCUGCUUCGCAUCAAGAGGGUGAGCCGGUGACGGGCCGGGUCUGGGGAGGAGUUAAACUCAUGCUUUAUGGCAGAGACACGGACACGUUAGCGCGAACAAGUCUCUCUCUUUAUAUGUGUGUGCCCCACGAGUGUACGCGGCGCAUGUAUGGGGAGGAGAGAAGGCGCGCCGUCUGCCUCUCCGUCUCCUCAUUCUUCUUGCGCCGGACUUCCCUGUGUGUUUCUUCGUUUUGGUUGUUUCCGCACCGUAACGCAGCUCGCCUCUCCUUUUUUCUUUGCUUUUUCGUGUUGUGCAUUUUGUGUGCGUGCUGUAGGCUUCGUACUUAGCGCGUCAGUAAACGUUGCCGUCUUUGUUCCUCCUCCCCCUCCCCCUCCCCCUCCCCUUUUUCCUUUUUUUUGUCGCAUGGCCUGAGCGCUCUCGUUCUCUCUCCCUUGUGCCACCUGGCAUGACGAUAUCCACAGGCCUCAUGGGGAGGGGGAUGGGUGGGCGUGUUCGCCGGCGUGUACGCGCCCGUGGCUUGGAGU
rnacentral:misc_RNA from 1 species